GAGGAUGCGAGCGUUAUCCGGAUUUAUUGGGUUUAAAGGGUGCGUAGGCGGUCUGUUAAGUCAGCGGUAAAAGCCCGGGGCUCAACCCCGGCGAGCCGUUGAAACUGGGGGACUAGAGAGGGCGAGAAGUACGCGGAAUGCGCAGUGUAGCGGUGAAAUGCAUAGAUAUUGCGCGGAACUCCGAUUGCGAAGGCAGCGUACCGGCGCCUGUCUGACGCUGAGGCACGAAAGCGUGGGUAGCGAA
rnacentral:rRNA from 1 species